ensembl:lncRNA
UACAGAUUAGUAAUGAGGCUAUAUACAGGGGUACAGGUUAGUAAUGAGGCUAUAUACAGGGGGUACAGGUUAGUAAUGAGGCUAUAUACAGGGGGUACAGGUUAGUAAUGAGGCUAUAUACAGGGGGUACAGGUUAGUAAUGAGGCUAUAUACAGGGGGUACAGGUUAAUAAUGAGGCUAUAUACAGAGGGUACAGGUUAAUAAUGAGGCUAUAUACAGGGGGUACAGGUUAGUAAUGAGGCUAUAUACAGAGGGUACCGGUACAGACUCAAUGUAUGGGGUACAGGUUAGUAAUAAGGCUAUAUACAGGGGGUACAUGUUAGUAAUGAGGCUAUAUACAUGGGGUACCGGUACAGAGUCAAUGUACGGGGUACAGGUUAGUAAUGAGGCUAUAUACAGGGGGUACAGGUUAGUAAUGAGGCUAUAUACAGGGGGUACCGGUACAGAGUCAAUGUACGGGGUACAGGUUAGUAAUGAGGCUAUAUAUAGGGGGUACAUGUUAGUAAUGAGGCUAUAUACAGGGGGUACCG